ACGCUCGACACCUACUGGAGGCAGCAGUAGGGAAUCUUCCACAAUGGGCGCAAGCCUGAUGGAGCAACACCGCGUGAGUGAAGAAGGGUUUCGGCUCGUAAAGCUCUGUUGUUGGAGAAGAACGUGCGUGAGAGUAACUGUUCACGCAGUGACGGUAUCCAACCAGAAAGUCACGGCUAACUACGUGCCGCAGCCGCGGUAAUCUGAGCGGGCUGGCAAGGC
rnacentral:rRNA from 1 species